GUAGAUUGUGCCAAAGAUCUUCCUGAGGUCCCAGCCUCUGAAUGGCGGCAGCCCUUUGCGAACUACCAGCUUGCUCUCUUGCCACAAUGUCACACGGAGGUUUCCAGGAUCCUCACUAGAGGUGUGGCAGGCAGGCCUGAAAUGACCAAUUCAAAGUCCCUCUUGUUGCUACUGAAGCAUGUUUGAGACCUGCGAGGAGGAGGAGGCCUCUAUCAGAGCAAAGAAUUUGGAGCUGCUUCCAAUCUGAAACUUCCUUAGCGUUGUAAAAAGCACCCUUCAUUCGAAAUCGCUCAGUGCCUGGACUCAGAGAAAGUGGGAGAGUUACCAAGGCUCGGCCCCCAAGGCACAGUGAGAAGAAACUGAGGCAAUGCCAAGAACACCCCGACCUCAUGAGCUUCAAAGAAGCUGCUGCUGCAGUUCCCGGUUCUGAGGCACCUCCAAGACCACUCUCAUCCAAACUCUCAAAACACUCCCCUUGGGUGAGCUGUCCCUUAAAAGGAACAGGGCUGGGCCUUCACAAAGGCUCCUGUGAGACUUCUACCCCCUAUGGGUCUGGUAGCACCAAGGGAUUUCUCAUGCUAUGACCACAGACAUCAUCAAGAGGGUAGAGAGACCAAGUGGCCAGUGAAUUGGCACACAUGAAGAUUCUUUGUGAUCUGUAAAGAAAGUGUAAAAUCUGCAACAAACUGUGGAAUAAUCUGACAUAGGAAGAGGUGGAUGGUACAGAAGAACAAUAAAAUAAUAGCCAGCCUUUAUUGACUGGUUGCUUCAUGCCACUACUGCUCUGUGUGCUUUUACAUGUAUAAAAUGCGUAUUUGUCAUAAGACCCUUUGAAACGGCCCUACUGUCACUCCUAUUUUAUAGAUGAUGAAGCCCAGGACAGCACAAGGCUAGUGAGUGGUGCUGCACCCACGGAG
rnacentral:lncRNA from 1 species